rnacentral:misc_RNA from 1 species
GAUGAAGAACGUAGUGAAAUGCGAUACGUAAUGUGAAUUGCAGAAUUCAGUGAAUCAUCGAAUCUUUGAACGCACAUUGCGCCCGCCAGCACUCUGGCGGGCAUGCCUGUUCGAGCGUCAUUUCAACCAUCAAGCCCCAGGCUUGCGUUGGAGCCCUGCGGCUGCCGCAGCCUCCUAAAAGCAGUGGCGGGCUCGCUAUCACACCGAGUGCAGUAGAUUACUCUUCGCUCAGGGCGUGCAGCGGGUUCCGGCCGUGAAACCCCCUACUUUUAAAGGUUGACCUCGGAUCAGGUAGGAAUACCCGCUGAACUUAAGCAUAUCAAAAGCGGAGGA